rnacentral:rRNA from 1 species
UACGUAGGGGGCUAGCGUUGUCCGGAAUCAUUGGGCGUAAAGAGCGUGUAGGCGGCCCGGUAAGUCCGCUGUGAAAGUCGGGGGCUCAACCCUCGAAUGCCGGUGGAUACUGUCGGGCUAGAGUGCGGAAGAGGCGAGUGGAAUUCCUGGCGUAGCGGUGAAAUGCGCAGAUAUCAGGAGGAACACCAAUUGCGAAGGCAGCUCGCUGGGACGUAACUGACGCUGAGAUGCGAAAGCGUGGGGAGCAAACAGG